ACGUCAGGCUGCGCGGCCGGGCUAGGACCUGGCCUCGGCUCGCUGCGGCUCUUCUCCGAGCGUGACGUGUUGACUCCCCUCCCCGUGGACUCCCUUCCCCGCGGCCCGCCCGCCCGCCUGCCUCACCGCCGCCUCCUUCGCUCCCUCAGAGCGGGCCAGCGGCCGGGGUGGAGGCCCGGAGGCGUCGCAGCGCCGAGAGGGCGGGCGGGCGGGCUUCGGAGCGCCGGGAGGGCCGGGUCCGCGGCCGGUCGGUGCGCGGCGGGCGGGCGGCGGGCGCCGGUCUAUAUGGCGGCGGCUCUGUCGGGCCUGGCUGUCCGGCUGUCGCGCUCGGCCGCCGCCCGCUCCUAUGGGGUCUUCUGCAAGGGGCUGACCCGCACGCUGCUCAUCUUUUUCGACCUGGCCUGGCGGUUGCGCAUCAACUUCCCCUACCUCUACAUCGUGGCUUCCAUGAUGCUCAACGUCCGCCUGCAGGCUGCUGGUCAGAGAACAUGCUGGGUGCUUUCACAUGAAGAGUCCUCACACAUCCUGAGGAAAGAGGACACAGCCUAGCUCAGCCAUCCUUCUCGCCUCUCGGCCCUCGGACGUGUGAGCGCACCUUUGAGCCUCUGGGUGACCGAAGCAGGGGACAGAGUAGUGGCCCGCAGGAGCUGCACAGCCAGCUUAGAGCACAGGUUCAUAUUGAGAUCCAUUGAAGGCCUUCCGUGGACUGACAGGCGUGUCCUGGGGCUCAGGGUGUCAGAGAACACACAGCAUGAGGGACGGAAGGGGGACUCUGAGCACCUGCCUCGCAGAAGAGAAGGGAGCGGGCGAUGACUUGGACAAAUUACUGUACAGAGAACUGUUGUAUAAGAGAAUGCAGGAGGAGAGCGCUUGCCCAUCAGAUAUAACUUCCAGGAUGAAUAAGCCUGCGGUUGAUGUAAAUGGAAAUUCACAAAAUGAGGAGUUAUCACUGGAAAUGAAAAAUGAUCUGAGUGAGGUCAGCCUCUUGCUUCACGAUGGCAACAAAGUGCUUGCAUAUCUGCAAGAACCAAUACGAAGAAAUUCAGCUUCAGCAGCUGCUCAGAGCAAGACUGUCGAUCUGUUCUUUGCUCCCACAGAAGAGCGUUUUGCUGGGGCAUCCUUUGGCGUCGGGGGAGCUUAUGGUAGGGACUGGCUGGGAGGAGGGCCCAGGGCCACUGACAGCCCCGGAGGAUGGAGCCACAGAGGAAAGCCUUGGGGGUCAGGACUACCGUGCCAUCAAAAAUGGUUAGAAAUGGGGAUUUCUGAGAAUGGACCACCAAGCGCUUUGCUGGAGAAGCUGGACUCUGAGUCGGAACCCUCUCGCCUACGUUCCGUCCUGUCUGCACUGCUGCACGCACAUCCCCGAAUAUUCUUGAAUGAUGAGACAAAAUGUGUUUUCCCUGGCCAUUCAAAGCCCAUGUUUUCAGAGCAAAGAGGAGAAUACAAGAAAAUGCUUUCACGAGUAAAAAGUACCUCAGAUGAUCUGCAGGAACCACUGGCGUUACUGGCUCUACAAGCUUCUGAAUUAGCAAAUCUCUUAUGCCAUAGUUAAGGUACAGACAGAACAAUAAAAAUAGAUUUUUAAAAGUUGUCCUAGAAUGAUUUCUUUUGCAUUAGGUCUGGAUGCACAGGGUACAGCCAUGAAGCUCCUGCUUUGGUUUGCAUGACCAGACAUACUUAAAGUCAGUGGAAUUUAAACUCAUGGAGAGCUGGUUGAAUCAGAAGGAAAAUUUUGAGUUUUAAAUUGUGCUUGAAAGACACUCAGAGUUGGGAAGACAUGUCAAGGAGAAUAUUGAUAUAUCCUAUAUAAAUAUCAGAUUAGAAUCAAAAGAUUUAACAAAGUUUUUAAUUUACCUUCAGCACCCAUCCUAAAGGGCUGCUGUCCCAGAUACUGUCUUUCUAGACUGUCUCUGACCAUCUAAUGGGAGUAGAUAUUUGUAAAGUCGACUCUGAGCCAGGCUGAGUUAAUGGUAAGCUGUUACCAUUUCUGCAUUUCGCAGAAUAAUUUGAGCAAAAUCUGAUUUCUUUUCUCACAUCCCUUUCCUUCCACUUGACAUGCAAUUUAAAUGGAGGCCCUACGGUGAAAGUUGCAAUAUUAACCUUACCUUUAGAUAACGCUUUCUCAAGCUAGGAACCCUAGCAGUGUUACUCAGGAUAAAAAAUGAGCUUGAGCCUGUCUGCCGGGGCUCAGUUAUAGAGAAAAAUCAAGCCUCUCCCUAGAGAAGGUCUCCAGUUUCUAGGAGUCGAGGUAUCUCUUACACUAAGAUUUUUCCUGAGAGAACACCUUUUGUUGUGUGUUGAUCACUUUGAUAAAAGGCACUUAAGAGCGUAAGUUUUUAAAGAGUCCGAAAGUAAGGCUUAACCAUUUUCGGAAUUAUUGAUUGCAUCUAUCAGUUUAUAUUGUGUGCUAAAUUACUAUGCCGUGCGCUAUUUCAGUGUUUUGGGGAAAUGAAAAAUAAAACCUGUUCUUUAGCAUAAUAAAUGUCGUAUUUUACAUGUG